CUCUCUCUCUCUCUCUCUCUCUCUCUCUCUCGCUCGCUCGGAUUCAAGAGCAACAUUUCUCUGUCACUAUACGUCACAGAGUCCACCAUUUCUUUCCCUUUUCUCUUUGAUUUUCUUUCCGUUGGCUACCAAAAAAAUCUGAGAGCAACAUUUCGCAUGAAAGCAAGCCACUCCAGUCAUUACCCGUCGACGCAGUACCACUCAAGCCAUCUGAUCUUCAGCUUGAUGUAAAAGGCUGUCGUGAUGUAUAUGCUUCUUUUGACAAAUAUGUGGAGGUGGAACGUCUUGAGGGUGACAAUAAGUAUCAUGCCGAACAAUAUGGUUUACAGGAUGUUAGGAAAGGUGUUUUGUUCAUUGAUUUUCCACCUGUCCUCCAACUACCGCUAAAAAGAUUUGAGUAUGACUUUAUGCGAGAUACCAUGGUAAAGGUGGAUGGCUAUGUUAAGAUAUUCCCGAAAGUUGCACAUGGUUGGAUGGUUAUAUAUGACGUAAAAGACAAGCCAGCUGUGAAGCCUGCUGAGGAGGCCCAUCAGAACCUGUUGGAGUGGCUUGCUAAGAAUGUUAAGUGAGAAUUGGGGAGUCAGUUUCUCUUUUGUUCAGUCUUGGUUUCAUAUUAUUAUGAGACAAGAGUGUUGUCUUAGACAGAAUCAUGGCAUUUCCAGAUGGUUGGGACUACCUAUUAUUGAGUCUGUAUUACUAGUAACGUCUAAAUUCCAACAAAAUGAAUAAUGGGUAUUAGUUUAUAAUUCUUUAUCCGAAAGCAUGGCUGUUUGAAAGCAAAAGUCAUUGGAUGGAUCUAGUUAUUAUGUGUCCCAGACACUCGCAUUUCCAACCUAUAAUUUUCUAAAAUUUGAGAGAUUUUUUCAUUAAUGUUCAAUAGUCAUCAUGUUAUCUUUCACCCAUGUAUGUAGAAUACAGUACUUUUUCAAACAUAAGCUACUACUGCUCCUUAUUUUUAGUUGUUCCCAAAUUUCAUUGAGAUUUAAAACACUUUACAUUUUUUUUCUCUCUUUUUCUAAGUAAUGCUAUGAAGAAGGAAAAGAAUCUCAUUUGAUUUGAG